AAAAAGUUUUAUUCUAGCUUAGAAAUUAGGUUGGGCUUUAUUUUACAUGUAAGUUUUAGCGUAAUUGGUAUAUUUACUUAGAUAGUAUUUAUAUAAAAUUUUGUUUGCAGUGGAGAGAUUUAAUUUACAUGUAAUUAUGGAUUUAGGAAUAGCUCUUAUAAGUAUUGGCAAAAUUUGUGCCAGCAGCCGCGGUUACACGGGUAAUACAAUUUAAUUUUUUUGGAAACAGUUAAUUUGAUAUAAAAUUUUGCGUUCGGGUUUAUUGGGUGAAAUUUUAAAUUUAGAAUGAAAAUUUAUUUUUGUUGAUGAGGCUGGGAAAUUCUAUGUUUAAACUAGGAUUAGAUACCCUAUUAUUUUGAAUGUAAAUUUAUUUUUCCUGAUUAGUAUUAGUUAUAUGCUUGAAAAUUAAAGAUUUUGGCGGUAUUUUAGUCCCUUCAGAGGAACCUGUCCUAUAAUCGAUGGUCCACGAUUAAUUUCACCUUUUUUAUUAGUUUAUAUAUCGUCGUAGGUUGAAUACUUUAUUAGAUUUUAAAUAUUCAUAAUUUUUUUACAGAAAGGAAAUCAGAUCAAGGUGUAGCUUACAAAAAGGCAGAGAUGGGUUACAAUAAAUUUAUUUUAGGAUUAAUUUCUUAAUAGGAAUUAUGAAUACGGAUUUGAAAGUAAUUUUAAUUUUAUAAUUAGGAUGAUUUAGGCUCUAAAGUAUGCACAUAUCGCCCGUCGCUUUCAUUUCAAGGUGAAAUAAGUCGUAACAUAGUAGGCUUACUGGAAAGUGCGCCUAGAAAGGG
rnacentral:ncRNA from 1 species